rnacentral:hammerhead_ribozyme from 1 species
ACACUGCUGAGGAGUCCCACAAUGGGACGAAACAGUUGUCUAGUGU